rnacentral:rRNA from 1 species
GAACGCUGGCGGCGUGGAUAAGACAUGCAAGUCGAACGGGAUAAUCUUGUAGCAAUACCGGGUUGUUCCCUGGCGAACGGGUGCGUAACACGUGGAUUACAUACCGGAAAGCGAGGAAUAGCCCAGGAGAGACGGCUAACUCUGUGCCAGCAGCCGCGGUAAUACAGAGGUCUCAAGCGUUGUUCGGAUUCUUGGUGCC